rnacentral:rRNA from 1 species
UACGUAGGGGGCAAGCGUUGUCCGGAAUCAUUGGGCGUAAAGCGCGUGUAGGCGGCCCGGUAAGUCCGCUGUGAAAGUCGGGGGCUCAACCCUCGAAUGCCGGUGGAUACUGUCGGGCUAGAGUGCGGGAGAGGCGAGUGGAAUUCCUGGUGUAGCGGUGAAAUGCGCAGAUAUCAGGAGGAACACCAAUUGCGAAGGCAGCUCGCUGGGACGGUACUGACGCUGAGGCGCGAAAGCGUGGGGAGCGAACAGG